AGAGUUUGAUCCUGGCUCAGCCUGAACGCUGUCGGCGUGGUUAAGACAUGCAAGUCGUACGAUGUAGCAAUACAUAGUGGCGAACGGGUGAGUAAUGCAUCGCUAACGUACCCUCCAGUUUGGGAUAGCCAGUUGAAAGACUGGGUAAUACCAGAUGACAUAUUCCGGUGGCAUCAUCGGAAUCUCAAAGGGCAACCGCUGGAGGAUCGGGCGAUGUGGUAUCAGGUUGUUGGUGAGGUAACGGCUCACCAAGCCUUCGACGCCUAGCCGGACUGAGAGGUCGGCCGGCCACAUCGGGACUGAGACACUGCCCGGACUCCUACGGGGGGCUGCAGUAACGAAUCUUCCGCAAUGCACGAAAGUGUGACGGAGCGACGCCGAGUGUUGGAUGAAGUCCUUCGGGAUGUAAACAACUGUCAGGGGUAAGAAAGUUCUGAUCUACCCCAGAGGAAGUGGCGACUAACUCUGUGCCAGCAGCCGCGGUAAUUC
rnacentral:rRNA from 1 species